rnacentral:rRNA from 1 species
GGGGAAUAUUGGACAAGGGGCAAAAGCCUGAUCAAGCCAUGCCGCGUUUGUGAAGAAGGUCUUCGAAUUUUAAACCACUUUAAGUGGGGAGGAAGGGUUUUUGGUUAAUAUCCAGGAUUUUUGAGGUUACCGCCAGAAUAAGCACCGGCUACUUUCGUGCCAGCAGCCGCGGUAAUACGAAGGGUGCAAGCGUUAAUCGGAAUUACUGGGCGUAAAGCGCGCGUAGGUGGUUCGUUAAGUUGGAUGUGAAAGCCCCGGGCUCAACCUGGGAACUGCAUCCAAAACUGGCGAGCUAGAGUACGGUAGAGGGUGGUGGAAUUUCCUGUGUAGCGGUGAAAUGCGUAGAUAUAGGAAGGAACACCAGUGGCGAAGGCGACCACCUGGACUGAUACUGACACUGAGGUGCGAAAGCGUGGGGAGCAAACA